rnacentral:rRNA from 1 species
UACGGGGGGGGGCAAGCGUUGUUCGGAAUUACUGGGCGUAAAGCGCGCGUAGGCGGCUUUGUAAGUUAGAGGUGAAAGCCCGGGGGCUCAACCCCGGAACUGCCUUUAAAACUGCAUCGCUUGAAUCCAGGAGAGGUGAGUGGAAUUCCGAGUGUAGAGGUGAAAUUCGUAGAUAUUCGGAAGAACACCAGUGGCGAAGGCGGCUCACUGGACUGGUAUUGACGCUGAGGUGGCGAAAAGCGUGGGGAGCAAACAGG